UUAAGCGACUAAGCGUACACGGUGGAUGCCCUGGCAGUCAGAGGCGAUGAAGGACGUGCUAAUCUGCGAUAAGCGUCGGUGAGGUGAUAUGAACCGUUAUAACCGGCGAUUUCCGAAUGGGGAAACCCAGUGUGUUUCGACACACUAUCAUUAACUGAAUCCAUAGGUUAAUGAGGCGAACCGGGGGAACUGAAACAUCUAAGUACCCCGAGGAAAAGAAAUCAACCGAGAUUCCCCCAGUAGCGGCGAGCGAACGGGGAGGAGCCCAGAGCCUGAAUCAGUGUGUGUGUUAGUGGAAGCGUCUGGAAAGGCGCGCGAUACAGGGUGACAGCCCCGUACACAAAAAUGCACAUAUUGUGAGCUCGAUGAGUAGGGCGGGACACGUGGUAUCCUGUCUGAAUAUGGGGGGACCAUCCUCCAAGGCUAAAUACUCCUGACUGACCGAUAGUGAACCAGUACCGUGAGGGAAAGGCGAAAAGAACCCCGGCGAGGGGAGUGAAAAAGAACCUGAAACCGUGUACGUACAAGCAGUGGGAGCCUCUUAAUGGGGUGACUGCGUACCUUUUGUAUAAUGGGUCAGCGACUUAUAUUCUGUAGCAAGGUUAACCGAAUAGGGGAGCCGAAGGGAAACCGAGUCUUAACUGGGCGUUAAGUUGCAGGGUAUAGACCCGAAACCCGGUGAUCUAGCCAUGGGCAGGUUGAAGGUUGGGUAACACUAACUGGAGGACCGAACCGACUAAUGUUGAAAAAUUAGCGGAUGACUUGUGGCUGGGGGUGAAAGGCCAAUCAAACCGGGAGAUAGCUGGUUCUCCCCGAAAGCUAUUUAGGUAGCGCCUCGUGAAUUCAUCUCCGGGGGUAGAGCACUGUUUCGGCAAGGGGGUCAUCCCGACUUACCAACCCGAUGCAAACUGCGAAUACCGGAGAAUGUUAUCACGGGAGACACACGGCGGGUGCUAACGUCCGUCGUGAAGAGGGAAACAACCCAGACCGCCAGCUAAGGUCCCAAAGUCAUGGUUAAGUGGGAAACGAUGUGGGAAGGCCCAGACAGCCAGGAUGUUGGCUUAGAAGCAGCCAUCAUUUAAAGAAAGCGUAAUAGCUCACUGGUCGAGUCGGCCUGCGCGGAAGAUGUAACGGGGCUAAACCAUGCACCGAAGCUGCGGCAGCGACACUAUGUGUUGUUGGGUAGGGGAGCGUUCUGUAAGCCUGUGAAGGUGGCCUGUGAGGGUUGCUGGAGGUAUCAGAAGUGCGAAUGCUGACAUAAGUAACGAUAAAGCGGGUGAAAAGCCCGCUCGCCGGAAGACCAAGGGUUCCUGUCCAACGUUAAUCGGGGCAGGGUGAGUCGACCCCUAAGGCGAGGCCGAAAGGCGUAGUCGAUGGGAAACAGGUUAAUAUUCCUGUACUUGGUGUUACUGCGAAGGGGGGACGGAGAAGGCUAUGUUGGCCGGGCGACGGUUGUCCCGGUUUAAGCGUGUAGGCUGGUUUUCCAGGCAAAUCCGGAAAAUCAAGGCUGAGGCGUGAUGACGAGGCACUACGGUGCUGAAGCGACAAAUGCCCUGCUUCCAGGAAAAGCCUCUAAGCAUCAGGUAACAUCAAAUCGUACCCCAAACCGACACAGGUGGUCAGGUAGAGAAUACCAAGGCGCUUGAGAGAACUCGGGUGAAGGAACUAGGCAAAAUGGUGCCGUAACUUCGGGAGAAGGCACGCUGAUAUGUAGGUGAAGCGACUUGCUCGUGGAGCUGAAAUCAGUCGAAGAUACCAGCUGGCUGCAACUGUUUAUUAAAAACACAGCACUGUGCAAACACGAAAGUGGACGUAUACGGUGUGACGCCUGCCCGGUGCCGGAAGGUUAAUUGAUGGGGUUAGCGGUAACGCGAAGCUCUUGAUCGAAGCCCCGGUAAACGGCGGCCGUAACUAUAACGGUCCUAAGGUAGCGAAAUUCCUUGUCGGGUAAGUUCCGACCUGCACGAAUGGCGUAAUGAUGGCCAGGCUGUCUCCACCCGAGACUCAGUGAAAUUGAACUCGCUGUGAAGAUGCAGUGUACCCGCGGCAAGACGGAAAGACCCCGUGAACCUUUACUAUAGCUUGACACUGAACAUUGAGCCUUGAUGUGUAGGAUAGGUGGGAGGCUUUGAAGUGUGGACGCCAGUCUGCAUGGAGCCGGCCUUGAAAUACCACCCUUUAAUGUUUGAUGUUCUAACGUGGGCCCCUUACCGGGGUUGCGGACAGUGUCUGGUGGGUAGUUUGACUGGGGCGGUCUCCUCCUAAAGAGUAACGGAGGAGCACGAAGGUUGGCUAAUCCUGGUCGGACAUCAGGAGGUUAGUGCAAUGGCAUAAGCCAGCUUGACUGCGAGCGUGACGGCGCGAGCAGGUGCGAAAGCAGGUCAUAGUGAUCCGGUGGUUCUGAAUGGAAGGGCCAUCGCUCAACGGAUAAAAGGUACUCCGGGGAUAACAGGCUGAUACCGCCCAAGAGUUCAUAUCGACGGCGGUGUUUGGCACCUCGAUGUCGGCUCAUCACAUCCUGGGGCUGAAGUAGGUCCCAAGGGUAUGGCUGUUCGCCAUUUAAAGUGGUACGCGAGCUGGGUUUAGAACGUCGUGAGACAGUUCGGUCCCUAUCUGCCGUGGGCGCUGGAGAACUGAGGGGGGCUGCUCCUAGUACGAGAGGACCGGAGUGGACGCAUCACUGGUGUUCGGGUUGUCAUGCCAAUGGCACUGCCCGGUAGCUAAAUGCGGAAGAGAUAAGUGCUGAAAGCAUCUAAGCACGAAACUUGCCCCGAGAUGAGUUCUCCCUGACCCUUUAAGGGUCCUGAAGGAACGUUGAAGACGACGACGUUGAUAGGCCGGGUGUGUAAGCGCAGCGAUGCGUUGAGCUAACCGGUACUAAUGAACCGUGAGGCUUAACCUU
rnacentral:rRNA from 3 species